GGGAAUGUGGCUUAGUGGUAGAGUGCUUGCCUAGGAAGCAUGAAGCCCUGGAUUCGAUUCCUCAAUACCA
rfam:Dipodomys ordii contig_16598, whole genome shotgun sequence.